GGUACAGCCACCAUGUUUGAAAACAGGAGUAAAGCGAUAGUAAAUACUGUAGAUUUCUUCUCCAAGGAAGACAAGUUCAACAAGAAAUAUCGUUUGAAUUUCGUCUGAUUUCUCCUCGAGCUCCUGGAGAAAGGAAGCUUCUGGGACAUGGUCGGUUAGCGGCGAAAUUCGGAGAGCCGCCUUUGAGUCCUCCCAAUUCCCAAACGUCUGUAAAUGCUGCUCUGCUUGUGCGCCUGCGAGAACACUAUAGCUACAGUAUUUUCUUUCCCCGCAAUCCUGGGCAUGAGUAAGCUGUAAGCCAUGGAUUUCCAGAAAUGGAUUGUUUUCCUAAUAUUGAAUUUACAUCUUUGUGUCAUUGCCAAACGGAUAAAUGAACCUCCUUCGACUCCAAUGCCUCCGCCACCAGGGAAGGAUGGUAAUAAAACCUCAACAGUCAGCAUUAUUGUAGUUUCAAUUGCCAUGGGUCUUAUCUUGAUUGCAAUUUGCAUUUUUAUCAU